rnacentral:rRNA from 1 species
UACGGAGGGGGCUAGCGUUGUUCGGAAUUACUGGGCGUAAAGCGUACGUAGGCGGUCUUUUAAGUCAGAGGUGAAAGCCCGGGGCUCAACUCCGGAAUUGCCUUUGAAACUGGGAGACUUGAACAUGGGAGAGGUGAGUGGAAUUCCGAGUGUAGAGGUGAAAUUCGUAGAUAUUCGGAGGAACACCAGUGGCGAAGGCGGCUCACUGGACCAUUGUUGACGCUGAGGUACGAAAGCGUGGGGAGCAAACAGG